AUUGAACGCUGGCGGCAGGCUUAACACAUGCAAGUCGAGCGGAGAGAGGUAGCUUGCUACUGAUCUUAGCGGCGGACGGGUGAGUAAUGCUUAGGAAUCUGCCUAUUAGUGGGGGACAACAUUUCGAAAGGAAUGCUAAUACCGCGUACGUCCUACGGGAGAAAGCAGGGGAUCUUCGGACCUUGCGCUAAUAGAUGAGCCUAAGUCGGAUUAGCUAGUUGGUGGGGUAAAGGCCUACCAAGGCGACGAUCUGUAGCGGGUCUGAGAGGAUGAUCCGCCACACUGGGACUGAGACACGGCCCAGGCUCCUACGGGAGGCAGCAGUGGGGAAUAUUGGACAAUGGGCGCAAGCCUGAUCCAGCCAUGCCGCGUGUGUGAAGAAGGCCUUAUGGUUGUAAAGCACUUUAAGCGAGGAGGAGGCUACUUUAGAUAAUACCUAGAGAUAGUGGACGUUACUCGCAGAAUAAGCACCGGCUAACUCUGUGCCAGCCGCCGCAGUAA
rnacentral:rRNA from 1 species